GCGAUGUUGAAUUUGUUCGAAUUGCGCUUGAUGUGCCGGAUUCGUAAAUGUUAGAUUCCCGUGAAAUCUGUUCUCUGGGGGCAUGAAUCCUUUUCCUUGUCGAAAUUGACCUCGCUCAAGUGGAUGAUACUCAGUGUCCUAAUUUUCUAUUUCAUUUUCGUAAUUUUCGGCAUCGUCUACCGUUGGAGUUGAUGAACCAGCCAAAGGUGGCUGUUGGCGGCCUCGGGUUUGUCUUUGCGUUGAAUGUGGUUCAGUACCAUUGUUUGGGGAUCGCGGCGUU
rnacentral:lncRNA from 1 species